CGUUCCCGUCGACGUCUCCACCGCCGUUCCGGCGGCCGCAUUUCUCCCCGCGGCGGCGACAUGCGUCGCCGCGUGGUGGUGGUGGGGUGCGCGGACGUCGAUGCCCACGGCGGGAACCGGCGGCGUUGACAUCCCCAGCAGAGCCGUCGGUGGCCGGAAGCAGAGACUCUCCAUGCGGCGGCGUUCUCCGAGAUCAACCCCUCAGAGCUUCCGGAGAUCCUGGCGAUGAGGUGAGCUGUCACACAGGAAGACGAAGAAUAUCGAGCUCGUCAACCUUCCAGCGCAAGCAAUUACAACCCCCAGAGGCGGAGAUGGAGGGGACCCGACCCGUCCUCUCCUUCCCCGAGAAGCAAGAAACCCAAAGAACACCGCAACCCGACCAACAAGAGAGAAGAUCCAGAUCGCCCCAACAAACUCCUCUCAGUUUCUUCCCGCACCCACCCACCUUCCAACCCGGUGAUCUCGACUGCUACCUGCUCCCCCUGCGUCUUCAACCUUCCUGCUCCGGCGACGACACCACGCCUCGCUCUGUGUUCUUGUGGGAACCCCCGAGGAGAUCGGAGGAAGGAGGAAGGAGAUGGAAGGGGCCGGGGAGGGGGCGGGGGCGCGUGAAAGAGGUGCCCAGAUUCCACGGAGGGCUUCCUUCUCUGGUACGGUCGGCGUGAGGGGCCCCUGUUUAUACUCUCUAUUUCCGGCAAUCGACCUCCGUUUGACAUUUCCCGUCCCAAAG
rnacentral:lncRNA from 1 species